rnacentral:misc_RNA from 1 species
AUCGUUGCCCCUCCCCCAAACCCCUCCCCUCCUCGAAAGAGGGAGACGAGGGGACUUGGCCGUGGGCGGAUAUUGGCCUCCCGUGCGCCGAAGGGCUCGCGGUUGGCCUAAAUACGAGUCGUCGACGGUGGACGUCGUGACGUUCGGUGGUCAAACAAACCUCGAGCUCCCGUCGCGCGUACGUCGUCGGUACAACAAGGCUCACCGACCCUGAAGCGUUGUCAACAACAGCGCACGCAUC